rnacentral:lncRNA from 1 species
GGACUUGCCUUUUGCUCUUUAAGUUUACUACAGUAUAUGAAUACGUAGUCAACUUUUCAGAUGGUGUUUUAUAAACAACUAUAGUAUAUGAAUACUAAGUUAUAUUAUAAACACAAGUUAUAUUAUAGAGUAAAUGACCAGAUAACUGGAUAUAUUGAUAAGCAAGUAAAUGAUCAGAUAACUGGAUAUAUUGAUAAACAAGUAGAUGACCAGAUAACUGGAUAUAUAUGAUAAGUAAAUGCUUGAACAAAUAUGAAUAAAGCAAUGAAUAUAACCUCAGAUGGUUGACCAGAUAACUGGAUGAGGGAUCUGCGUAAAAUAGUCAACCUCUGUAUUUGACCAGAUAACUGGAAGAGGGAUCUUUUUAAUUAAGUGUUGUUUUUAGAUAAAAGAUAAAACUAUAAUUAACAGAGAACAACACAAGAGAUUUAUACUGGUUCACCCAAACAAGGGCUAGUCCAGUCCCGAUCAACUGUCGGAAUUCACUCGCCUAAAGGUAAUGGCAAAACCUUAGAGUAUCAAGGAAACUCUUAAGAACCUCUCUAAGCUUUAA